UGGGCGUAAGCGCGCGCAGGCGGUUUCUUAAGUCUGAUGUGAAAGCCCACGCCUCAACCGUGGAGGGUCAUUGGAAACUGGGGAACUUGAGUGCCUAAGAGAAAAGCGGAAUUCCACGUGUAGCGGUGAAAUGCGUAGAGAUGUGGAGGAACACCAGUGGCGAAGGCGUCCUUUUGGUGUGUAACUGACGCUGAGGCGCGAAAGCGUGGGGAGCAAACAGGAUUAUAUACCCUGGUACUCCCCG
rnacentral:rRNA from 1 species